GCAACACAGUGCGGAAGCAUUAGCGUGUAUUUGUGUCCUGGGGCCGAGAACGCAUUUUGCGCAAAGCAUGCUGGGUAGCAGAGUGAACUGUCCUGGGGACGAGAGUUUGUGGCGCGGGCGGACGCUGCCAGAUUUGGUCGGCGAGAGUCGCCAUAUUUGCAUGACAGUCGUCGAUUUUUGAGGUGUGGCCAGAGACGUUCAGACUUCUUGUACUGACUUGAUGAAAGGGAGCAGUGUUUGAAAUUCAGAAAUGGAUGAUUGUGACUCGUCAUCGGAUGAUGAGCCACUGGCCAGGUUGCUACCACAACACUCCCCAUCAACAACCCCAACGAAGAAAAUUGGGACAUGCAAAGAAGUGGCAUCUGAGGACAGCCUGCCAGUGGCCAGCUUGCUACCGGAGCAGUCACCACCACUAGCAACUACACCGACUACAACACCAAGGAAGGACAAAAAGCGGCUGCUGACACCAAACUCCAAGUCUCUGCCUCAGCCUUCUUCGAAACGGACAAGUGCUGACAGGAAAGAGGAAGAAAAAAGAUGUUCAGCUGCAAUGUCUGUGGUUCUUAGUUGUCAGGCCGUCCCCUACAGUUACAUUCGGGGCAUUUUUUCAAUGGAACACAUAGCCAUCAUCAUCAACAUUAGCUUCCUGUAUCUGAUUGACCAGGUCAUCAACCUCAUUGAUCGUUUCGACAUUUCCACCAGAAAAUUGCAUGAAAAUAUCUCUAUCUUCUGUAGACGGAGCUACAAACUGCUCCAACAUAAACAUCAUGGCAUUAUGGCCCAUCCUUCUAGCAAGGGCUAGUGGGGAUGGAAAGUGUACAAAAGUCAGACCAUCCACAGACAAGCUGUAAACUGAGUGGGUAUACCCUGGCCUUGAAAGCUGAUGUCUGUUAUCCAGCUGUUACAUGAUGUAUUUAGUGAUAAGUAGUGAGCUUCUGUAUACUAUUGUUUGAGUACUGUUAUUUUGACUCUGACGCUGAAGACAUUGUGGCAACUCUUGCUGUUUUGCAGGAAAGGUAACUUCGUAUAUAUUUACAUAUACUAGUAUAUAUUUCAACUGCUGGGUCACUUGAUAAGGUUUCCAAGAAGAUGCCACUCUCUCUGUAUGUAUGUUAUGGUAUUGUUUAACCUGAACAUUUGUAAAGAAGCAUCAGUUUGACUAAGAAAAUGGCACACAUAUGAAAGAAUGCCCCAAAAGGGGGGAAAGAAUCAUGUUGAAUAUAUUCAAGAAUAAAUGUGAUGUAACA